AGAGGUGCAAGACCUUGGCGCACUGCUCAGUAACACGUGGACAACCUGCCCUGUGGAGGGGGAUAACCCCGUGAAAACUGGGGAUAAUACCCCAUAGGUUAGGGAGGCUGGAAUGCCCCCUAGCUCAAAGGUCCGCCGCCACAGGAUGGGUCUGCGGCCGAUUAGGUUGUUGUUGGGGUAACGGCCCAACAAGCCUUUGAUCGGUACGGGUUGUGGGAGCAAGAGCCCGGAGAUGGAUUCUGAGACACGAAUCCAGGCCCUACGGGGCGCAGCAGGCGCGAAAACUUUACAAUGCGAGAAAUCGUGAUAAGGGAACCCCGAGUGCCCGUAAAUUCGGGCUGUCCGCCAGUGCAAAAAACUGGUGAAGAAAGAGCCGGGCAAGACCGGUGCCAGCCGCCGCGGUAAUACCGGCGGCUCGAGUGGUGGCCACUAUUACUGGGCUUAAAGCGUCCGUAGCUUGGUUGUUAAGUCUCCUGGGAAAUCCAUCGGCUCAACCGAUGGGCGUUCAGGAGAUACUGGCAACCUAGGGACCGGGAGAGGUGAGAGGUACUCCAGGGGUAGGAGUGAAAUCCUGUAAUCCUUGGGGGACCACCUGUGGCGAAGGCGUCUCACUAGAACGGCUCCGACAGUGAGGGACGAAAGCUGGGGGAGCAAACCGGAUUGGAUACCCGGGUAGUCCUAGCCGUAAACGAUACUCGCUAGGUGUCGGCCACGGUGCGACCGUUGUCGGUGCCGUAGGGAAGCCGUGAAGCGAGCCACCUGGGAAGUACGGCCGCAAGGCUGAACUUA
rnacentral:rRNA from 1 species